rnacentral:rRNA from 1 species
CAGUCGAACGGACUUACAUUGAAGCCUAGCGAUAUGUAAGUUAGUGGCGGACGGGUGAGUAACGCGUGGGUAACCUGCCUUGUACUGGGGGACAACAGUUGGAAACGACUGCUAAUACCGCAUAAGCGCACAGCUUCGCAUGAAGCAGUGUGAAAAACUCCGGUGGUACAAGAUGGACCCGCGUCUGAUUAGCUGGUUGGUGAGGUAACGGCCCACCAAGGCGACGAUCAGUAGCCGGCCUGAGAGGGUGAACGGCCACAUUGGGACUGAGACACGGCCCAAACUCCUACGGGAGGCAGCAGUGGGGAAUAUUGCACAAUGGGGGAAACCCUGAUGCAGCAACGCCGCGUGAGUGAAGAAGUAUUUCGGUAUGUAAAGCUCUAUCAGCAGGAAAGAAAAUGACGGUACCUGACUAAGAAGCCCCGGCUAACUACGUGCCAGCAGCCGCGGUAAUACGUAGGGGGCAAGCGUUAUCCGGAUUUACUGGGUGUAAAGGGAGCGUAGGCGGUUUUGCAAGUCUGAAGUGAAAGCCCGGGGCUUAACCCCGGGACUGCUUUGGAAACUGUAGAACUAGAGUGCAGGAGAGGUAAGUGGAAUUCCUAGUGUAGCGGUGAAAUGCGUAGAUAUUAGGAGGAACACCAGUGGCGAAGGCGGCUUACUGGACUGUAACUGACGUUGAGGCUCGAAAGCGUGGGGAGCAAACAGGAUUAGAUACCCUGGUAGUCCACGCCGUANACGAUGAUUACUAGGUGUUGGUGGGUNUGACCCAUCGGUGCCGCA